AGUUCCUCAAAAAUCAGUCUGAGGCAGACGGAAAAGGGUAAACCCGUGUCUCUACAGCAGCAAGUGCAGUCGAACUGAGAGGAUUUGUGCCGCCGACGCGCUGAUAACCACCGCACAGAUGCCUGGCCCUAGGCCAUAACGGAUAUCACCCGACAUUUAUUUUUUAAUAUCAUCGUAUGGUUUAGCUGUAGGACGUCGAAUAACAACCGUUUGGUUUCGCCGAGUCGCGCCAUCGCUGUUGGUCUUUCAUUUGGAGGGCUCGCCCUUUCUCCGGGAGUCUGAAUGGAAGCAGCAGCCGAGGGAGCAGUUGGGCUGUCAGAGGCGAGACCGUUAUCCGGGGCUACAGCAUCAGAGGAUGCGGACACUGUCAUUGGAAUUAGCUACGGAAGGGACAGUGACAUGGACUAUUCUGCUAGAAAAGCACACAUCACAGAGCUGCCUGGUGUCUCGGGUCUACCAGGCCAGGGGAAGAGGAUGGGCCACAGGGGAGUGGACGCGUCCGGAGAGACCACCUACAAGAAGACCACGUCCUCCGCCCUGAAAGGUGCCAUCCAGCUGGGCAUCGGCUACACGGUGGGCAACCUGAGCUCCAAGCCUGAGAGAGACGUCCUCAUGCAGGACUUCUAUGUGGUGGAGAGCAUCUUCUUCCCCAGUGAAGGCAGCAACCUGACUCCAGCCCACCACUUCCCAGACUUCCGCUUCAAGACCUAUGCUCCUGUGGCCUUCCGCUACUUCAGGGAGCUCUUUGGGAUCAGGCCUGAUGACUACCUGUACUCCCUGUGUAACGAGCCCCUGAUUGAGUUGUCCAACCCCGGGGCCAGUGGCUCUGUGUUCUACCUGACCAAGGACGAUGAGUUCAUCAUCAAGACUGUCAUGCACAAGGAGGCAGAGUUUCUACAGAAGCUGCUGCCUGGAUACUACAUGAACCUCAACCAGAACCCUCGCACCCUGCUUCCCAAGUUCUUCGGCCUGUACUGCAUCCAAUCUGGCGGUAAGAACAUCCGCAUGGUGGUCAUGAACAAUGUUCUACCGCGCGCCGUCCGCAUGCACCUCAAGUUUGACCUGAAGGGCUCCACGUAUAAACGCUGUGCCUCCAAGAAGGAGAGACAGAAAGCCAAGCCCACCUUCAAAGACCUGGACUUCAUGCAGGACCUGCAGGAUGGCCUGAUGCUGGACCAGGAUAUGUACAGCGCUCUGGUCAAGACCCUGCAGAGAGACUGUUUGGUGCUGGAGAGCUUUAAGAUCAUGGACUACAGCUUGCUGCUGGGGGUCCAUAACAUCGACCAGGCAGAGAGGGAGCAGCAGAUGGAGGGAGGAGAGAAGGAUGAGAAGAGGCCCGUGGCCCAGAAGGCCCUCUACUCCACUGCCAUGGAGUCUAUCCAGGGAGGGGCUGCCUGCGGGGAGUCUAUCGAAACAGACGACACAAUGGGAGGCAUCCCAGCAGUCAAUGGGAAAGGAGAGCGUCUACUCCUCUACAUCGGAAUCAUAGACAUCCUGCAAUCCUACAGGCUAAUAAAGAAGCUGGAGCACACAUGGAAGGCUAUGGUUCAUGAUGGGGACACCGUAUCAGUCCACCGUCCUGGCUUCUAUGCAGACAGGUUCUUCAAAUUUAUGAGCAGCACUGUGUUUAAGAAGAGCUCAUCCUUGAAGUCUUCUCCCAUUAAGAAGGGCCGUGUGGGCCUGACGGUGACUAAGUACACUGGCCCCGGGGCCGCCUGGUCAGCCAGCCAGCUGCCCUCUGAGAGAGACGACAACAUCUACGACCUGAGAGGAGCACGCAGCUUCCCCACGCUGGAGGACGAGGGGCGACCAGACCUCCUCCCCUGCACCCCUCCGUCAUUUGAGGAGGCGACCACAGCCUCCAUCGCCACCACGCUCUCCUCCACCACCUCUCUGUCCAUCCCAGAGAGGUCUCCCUCAGACGCUGGAGCAGAGCACCCCCGCUACAGGUACCAGAACAACAGCUCUGAGAGAAGGAGGCACACCCAGUCUGUCAGCCAUGACGGGAGGACUCAGGAGGAGGUGCAUGAGGAGGAGCAGCAGACCAUCACGGUGGAGGUGGAGGUGAAGAGACACGACAGCGAGCCCACCAUCACGGCCCCACAGCCCUCUCCAGAGACCAGUGAGUUACCAGAAUUAGCCUCUGCUGCUGCCUAUCCCCCAGCCCCUGGGGCCCCUGCUGAAGCCUCUGCUGAGACCCCUGGCCCAGGGGCCACUGUCAGUCCCAAGGUUGUGGUUGUGGAGGCUGAGCGGGACCGCCGGGGCAGCACAGUGUCUGGGUCCGGAUGCACCAGCCAAGCCUCACAGGAUGACGAGGAUGACGUGCCAAUCACAGACAUCUACUUUCUUGCAGGGAGAACCUGGGUGUUCUCUCCUGUCCUGCGGAGGAGAAAGCUCCAGACCAGCUCUCAGAUGCAGUCCCCCUGAGGACAAGACCUGGGUGUACUCCCCUCUGCACUACGGCAGUGAGUCUCAGACCUUGCCGGAUGGAGAAGGGGAGGAGAGCGAGACAAGCUGAGAGGAUGAUUCCGUGGAGAAAGGAGCCAUCAGACUGAUCCCCGGGCCUCUGAUUGGCAGACAGCGGAAGCAUUCCAAUCCAGAACUGUAUUUUAAAACAUGGAUACAAAAACAAAACAGACUAAAUACUGUGAGGGAAACCGCCUCGACAUCCCGUGGUCACAGUGGUGAUGAUACUGUAUGAUCGAUUCCCCUCCUUUCAACCCACCCCAACUCCAAAUUGCCAUACCAGAAGAAAUGCAGGAACUCAAAUUGCUCGGCUAUACAUCUAGCAUGCCCCAUAAAAACAUGGGCAUUGAGGCAACUCUGCUAAUCCUCUCACAUUCCCAAAUGUCGAUACAGUCAAAUGGUCACAUGUAUUUCAUUGAUAUCAUGUUAAUUUAUAUUGUGAUUUUUCUUAGUUUAUUAUUGUUUUUUAAAUCUUUUUUAUUUGUGCACUUUUUUCAGACAUUUUUUAGUACUGUGAAUAUAUUUAGUUAUGUUGUGUGCUUCAUAUGUAGCUCUAGCAGCAAUAUUAACGUCGCUAUCGAAGUGGUACUUUACCGCUAUGUUGAAUGGUAUUUUACCACUAUGUUGAAAGGUACUUUACCAUUGGAGAGGGAACACUUUAUUUCCAAUAGAUGAAAAAUGAUCUAUAGAAUGUGUUUCAGAAAACAUGACUUGGUAAAUCUCAUAAGCCUAAUGUAUUAUUUUACAGGUUUGUUUAUUCGUUCUUAUGUAUUUAUUUUGCCAUUUCAAUCACAGUAUUGCUACAGGCUUCUAGCCUCAAAACCAGAUCAUUGCAACACUAAAUAAGGUUGGGUAUUGUCAAUCAUUUCAAAAUCCUACAUCAUUACAAAGUCUUCCAGAACCGCCCAACUUUCAGAGAAAUGCAAACAAAUCAUUUUCUAAGCAUAAUGAUUCAUUGAGCUGUGUUAAUGUCAUGAAAUACCAAUAUUUCAGCAGUCAAAUCUUGACUCUGAAUGUUAGCUCUGCUGGAGGGGAUUUAGGCUAAUGGAUUUGAUUACUUAGGCCAAAACACUCACAGUAUCACGUAUGUCCAGAAUUAAUUAAUACUUCUGUUAUUUAGUAAUAGUUAAUCUAAGAGGGAUUUCACGCUGCUCUUAGACAGCACUUUUAUGUAUCAACCAUCAUCAGAUGUGAAAGUGAAGUCUUCAUCACAAUCAUCUGGUAUAGGAUUAGUGUUAUAGUAUUUAUGUGAAUUCCAUGUUUUAAGGUUUAAGUUGUGUUUCAAUAUGUUUUUAUUCCUUUUCUGUUUCACACUUGGCUGUUUAAGUUAGUUGGUGUGUUUGUAUAUCUGUGCGGGACGGAAGGCGUCAAUGUCAAAACUUGUAAAAUACUGAUCAUUCUAUCAUAACGUGCAGUGGCCAGUUGUAAUCAGUUGCUGUUGUCCAUGUCAUCAAGAGACCAUAGCAGCAGUAUGUUGUACAGUACAGGUGUAGUCUUAGUUUUAAUUGCCUUAUUGAGAAAUUAAAACGUAUCAUAUUGAUGUUUUUUCAUAGUAGUGCUGUUGUAUUUAUUAUUUUCAAGUCCUUUUUUUCAAUACUGUAGUUGUGAGCCAGAAAAUGUGUAUAUACAAUUAUAAAUACAUAUAUAAAGAUUAUAAAUAUAUUUUCCAUUUGAAUUGGAGAAUAUUAUUUUUAUUUGAUUACAUUUUUUGCUGCUGGCAGGAAAUGAUUAAGAGCUACACAUGAUUUACUGUACCAUGUUCUUCAAGGUGUUGACAUGAUGCAGCUCGAUUUAUGGUUUAUAAAUCACAGCUGUUUUCUUUUUUUUUGUAUGAUGUCAGUU